rnacentral:rRNA from 1 species
GAUAACAGGCUGAUCUUCCCCAAGAGUCCAUAUCGACGGGAUGGUUUGGCACCUCGAUGUCGGCUCGUCGCAUCCUGGGGCUGGAGUCGGUCCCAAGGGUUGGGCUGUUCGCCCAUUAAAGCGGUACGCGAGCUGGGUUUAGAACGUCGUGAGACAGUUCGGUCCCUAUCCGCUGUGCGCGUAGGAGUCUUGAGAAGGGCUGUCCCUAGUACGAGAGGACCGGGACGGACGAACCUCUGGUGUGCCAGUUGUUCUGCCAAGGGCAUGGCUGGUUGGCUACGUUCGGGAGGGAUAACCGCUGAAAGCAUCUAAGCGGGAAGCCUGCUUCGAGAUGAGGACUCCCACCCCCUUGAGGGGUUAAGGCUCCCAGUAGACGACUGGGUUGAUAGGCCGGAUCUGGAAGCACCGUGAGGUGUGGAGGUGACCGGUACUAAUAGGCCGAGGGCUUGUCCUCAGUUG